GUUAUUAAGGCAUAAAAAACAUAUAAAACCAAAAUAAAAUCAGCAUAAGCAUGUAGCGCCAAAUACAAAACAUACAGCAGAAAAUUAUUAUCACCGAGAUAAAAGGCAAUAAAAAGAUCAUAUAAUGUACCCACACUGAAACGAGGGAUACAAUGUAUUAUUGCUCUGGGACUUGGUCUCUCUUAUAGUCAGGCAUUGGUCAAGGUCACUGUCUGUUCCAGCUCUGUGCAGGUCCCAAUGAAGUAGUUGAGGGUUUUAUGAUUU